UUUAUAGUUCUGUCACAGCAAUCUUUUAUAGUUCUGUCACAGCAAUCCUUUAUAGUUCUGUCACAGCUAGAAGCCUCAAAUAAUUCUGCUUCUCUUGCUAAAGAACAACUUGUCCUUUACGUUCAGAGUGUUGGUGAAGCUGGGUACUUAAAUGGCCCUAAAGAUGUUUCAUUUCGUUGGCAUUGCAGCGAUGAACAUCAUACAUGGACUUUUUAGGAAAGGAUUUUCAGCAUACUGGGAACACAACUAUCAACAAUGCAACAUUCUAGGGGUGCUAUUUUAUCAUUUAAGAGCCUUAUACAAUGAUUUUCAUCUGCAAUUUGUAUGGCCUUUCCCAAGCUUCUGCCAGAAAUUGAAUCUAUAAGUCAUGUAAGUCACAUGAGCAACAAUUGAGAUGCUUAAUGGUGUUUUUCUUUUCUCAGCAUAGGUUAAUAGUAACAUUGGAUCUGAAAAGAUUCUUGGUUGGGGCAAGACACUGAAUAAAUUGUAAUGAUUGAAUGGA